rnacentral:rRNA from 1 species
AUUGAACGCUGGCGGCAGGCCUAACACCUGCAAGUCGAGCGGAGCGGCGGACGGGCGAGUAAUGCCUACGAAUCUGCCCGGCCGUGGGUGAUAACGUCCGGAAACGGGCGCUAAUACCGCAUCAUAUACUAUGAGACUAGGUCUGAUUAGCUAGGUGGUGGGGGAAAGGCAUACCAAGGCGACCAUCCGUAACUGGUCUGAGAGGAUGAUCAGUCAAACGGUAACGUAGACACGGUCCAGACUCCGACGGGAGGCGGCAGUGGGGAAUAUUGGACAAUGGGCGAAAGCCUGAGCCAGCCAUGCCGCGUGUUUGAAGAAGGUCUUCGGAUUGUAAAGCACUUUAAGUUGGGAGGCGUUACCAACAGAAUAAGCACCGGCUAACAUCGUGCCAGCAGCCGCGGUAAUAC